rnacentral:rRNA from 1 species
UACAGAGGGUGCAAGCGUUAAUCGGAAUUACUGGGCGUAAAGCGCAUGUAGGCGGCUUGUUAAGUCACGUGUGAAAGCCCCAGGCUCAACCUGGGAAGUGCGCGUGAAACUGGCGAGCUUGAAUCCUGGAGAGGGUGGCGGAAUUCCCGGUGUAGAGGUGAAAUUCGUAGAUAUCGGGAGGAACACCAGAGGCGAAGGCGGCCACCUGGACGAGAGA